CUUGGUCAUUUAGAGGAAGUAAAAGUCGUAACAAGGUUUCCGUAGGUGAACCUGCGGAAGGAUCAUUACAGAGUUCCUGCCCUCGCGGGUAGAAACCCCACCCUUGCGUAUUAUAUCUUUGUUGCUUUGGCAGGCCGCCUUCGGGCACCGGCACACGCUGGAUCGCGCCUGCCAGAGGACCCCAAAUUCUGAAUGUUAGUGUCGUCUGAGUACUAUAUAAUAGUUAAAACUUUCAACAACGGAUCUCUUGGUUCUGGCAUCGAUGAAGAACGCAGCGAAAUGCGAUAAGUAAUGUGAAUUGCAGAAUUUAGUGAAUCAUCGAAUCUUUGAACGCACAUUGCGCCCCUUGGUAUUCCGAGGGGCAUGCCUGUUCGAGCGUCAUUUAAACCAAUCCAGCUUGCUGGGUGUUGGGCCUUCGCCUCUAGGCGGGCCUCAAAAUCAGUGGCGGUGCUGCCAGGCUCUAAGCGUAGUAAUUCUUCUCGCUACAGGGUCCUGGUGGAGGUUUGCCAACAACCCCAAAUUUUCAAAGGUUGACCUCGGAUCAGGUAGGGAUACCCGCUGAACUUAAGCAUAUCAAUAAGCGGAGGA
rnacentral:rRNA from 1 species